CCCCCUACGGGACGCAGCAGUAGGGAAUAUUGCUCAAUGGGGGAAACCCUGAAGCAGCAACGCCGCGUGGAGGAUGAAGGUUUUCGGAUUGUAAACUCCUUUUGUUAGAGAAGAUAAUGACGGUAUCUAACGAAUAAGCACCGGCUAACUCCGUGCCAGCAGCCGCGGUAAUACGGAGGGUGCAAGCGUUACUCGGAAUCACUGGGCGUAAAGAGCGCGUAGGCGGGAUAGCAAGUCAGAUGUGAAACCCUAGGGCUGAACCAUA
rnacentral:rRNA from 1 species